rnacentral:tRNA from 1 species
GAAAUAAAAAAAUUAUUAAGCUUCUAACUUAAUCUCUAGCGAUAAAAUUCGUUAUUAUUUCU